rnacentral:rRNA from 1 species
CAUCGGUGACAGGUGGUGGCAUGGUUGUCGUCAGCUCGUGUCGUGAGAUGUUGGUUAAGUCCCGCAACGAGCGCAACCCCUAUUGUUAGUUGCCAUCAUUCAGUUGGGCACUCUAGCGAGACUGCCGGUAAUAAACCGGAGGAAGGUGGGGAUGACGUCAAAUCAUCAUGCCCCUUAUGACCUGGGCUACACACGUGCUACAAUGGUUGGUACAACGAGUUGCGAGUCGGUGACGGCGAGCUAAUCUCUUAAAGCCAAUCUCAGUUCGGAUUGUAGGCUGCAACUCGCCUACAUGAAGUCGGAAUCGCUAGUAAUCGCGGAUCAGCAUGCCGCGGUGAAUACGUUCCCGGGCCUU